CUUGAUAUGCAGUGUGUCUGCAGCGUGUCGCAGUGUUGGUGCUGGUGCUACUGCUCGCCUGCUGCCUCGGACCGGCUUGUGGUGGUCGCCGAAUCCCGAGGAGCUGUGGGCCCCCCUGGAGCGUGGCAGCCAGAUCCCUUGGUGGUGGUCCCCCCCUUUUCCGUUGCUGUGAAGUGCACUCUGGGUGUUUUGGUUUGGUGUGUCACAAGGUGUUUUGAGUUGAGCCCCAUUUUCCUGCUGGCUGCCUGGUAAGCCCCAGCCCUAGUCCUCCUCCUAUGCUUAGUUUCUUUGUUUUUUUGUUUAUCAGCAAUAACUGUCAAUUCUUUUAAUGAGCAUUAGAUAUCUUGUUGUUUACUUAUUAAAAAUAAAACUGUAAUAUUGGGGAAA